GUAAUUCCUGCUUAUGCCGGUGAACGGUUAACUAGUGAUGUAAUAGGAAUUAUCCUUGUGUUCGGACUUUGACGUGACUUAUUGGAUGCCGAUUGUGUUUUGAGUGGCUCGACGCUUUGUGUUUAUGUUGUGUCUCGAGUUUCCUGGAUAAGCCUUUUGAUUUGUUUUUGUGCCUUCCCAGAGCUGCUGUCUCCGUUGGUAACCAUUUUUCAUUCAAAAUCAGAAGGUUUUGCCGGGUUCUGUAAGAAGUUUUAGCACACGAGAGAUGUCUUGAACAUAAGGAACUAACUGAAAUGGAAGUUUGGAACUGCAUGGUGCAGUAGUUUAACAGCUGUUUAAAUACUUCUACUAAACUGGAAAUCUCCAAAACCAGCCUGACUACUUUCGAUAAACUGGAAGAUAUAGUUCAGUAAGUUACCUAGUUGGAUAGAGCUAGAGCGAUGUGCAGAAAGGUCUGGCACUGAAGGAACACUUGUGAUUGGUUACUUAAUAAAAUAUAUUUGGAUGUC